GUCCCUGUAACACAAUUUAUAGCGCGUUGGACUUCUAAUUCCAAAUGUCGUGGACUCAAAUCCCAUUUGGGAUG